CAAUUGAGAUGACUAUAGUAUUGGGGCAACUUGAUAUUAUAGUUGAGCCAUAGAGGGUGAAAGUCCCUUAACAUCCAGGUAUUGAUAUUACGAACUAAAGAGCCAGCAAUGGCAUUUUGUUAGAGUCGGGUUGCUUGAGAGUGCAACCUAAAGAGCGAGGUAAACUGCUCGUAAGGCUAUAGAAAUAUCGCUAUGACACCGAUAGCAAACAAGUACCGUGAGGGAAAGUUGAAAAGUACUUUGAAGAGAGAGUUAAACAGGGCGUGAAACCGCUAGCUGGUAAACGAGUGGAGCCACGAAGUCGUUUCGUAGAAUAAAGAAUACAAAUUCAGUUGAGGUUAUCGAAAGAUGGCUUUAAUGCACUUUUGUUUAUUCUUCUAUGUAUGCGUACACUGCAACCAAUUAGACGAUUAAUUGUGGAAACAAUUAGCCAAUAUGGGGAGAAAUCUUUGUAUUAGUUAAUGAAAUACUUGUAUGCCAUCUAUAGGUUGCUCGAUUUGGUCCUUGUGGCUAUCUUGAGUGUAUGAUAGUUGGUGUGAGAGCUACAAUUAAAUACUGAUUGGCACAAUGAAAAAUCCAUUUGCAAAAAUGGUUCUUAGAUAAUGCUACCUGUAUUGUAUGCAUGUACAAGUAUUUAUUACUAGCGUUAAGCUUAGUAGUUUUAAAUUUAGACUAUCUGGCUGGCUCUGAUUUCGGUCGUUGCUGCUUGUAUAGCUUUCUAUCUAAUUGGCUAUUAACUUUGUUAGUAAUUUGGUACUUGGGAUGUUUGCAUGCAUGCAAUAAUAGGCAAGUCAUUUGAUGCCAGUGAGUAGUC
rnacentral:rRNA from 1 species